rnacentral:rRNA from 1 species
GACGAAGGGGGCUAGCGUUGUUCGGAAUUACUGGGCGUAAAGCGCGUGUAGGCGGUUGUCCAAGUUGGAUGUGAAAGCCUUGAGCUUAACUCAAGAAAUGCAUUCAGGACUGGAUGACUAGAGGACCGGAGAGGAUAGUGGAAUUCCCAGUGUAGUGGUGAAAUACGUAGAGAUUGGGAAGAACACCAGUGGCGAAGGCGGCUAUCUGGACGGUUUCUGACGCUAAGACGCGAAAGCGUGGGGAGCGAACAGG